rnacentral:misc_RNA from 1 species
GAUGAAGAACGUAGCGAAAUGCGAUAAGUAAUGUGAAUUGCAGAAUUCAGUGAAUCAUCGAAUCUUUGAACGCACCUUGCGCCCUUUGGCUAUUCCGAAGGGCAUGCCUGUUUGAGUAUCAUGAACAUCUCAACUCCUCACGGUUCGCCCGUGACGAGCUUGGACUUUGGGGGUCUUGCCGGCCUGCGGGUCGGCUCCUCUCAAAUGAAUCAGCUUGCCGGUGUUUGGUGGCGUCACAGGUGUGAUAAAUAUCUACGCUUGUGGUUUUCCGCCAGGUAACCUCCAGUGAUGGGGGUUCACUGGAGCUCACGAAUGUCUCUCCUCGGUGAGGACAGCUCUUUGAACGUUUGAUCUCAAAUCAGGUAGGGCUACCCGCUGAACUUAAGCAUAUCAAUAAGCGGAGGA